UGCCAGCAGCCGCGGUAAUACGUAUGGUGCAAACGUUGUUCGGAAUCACUGGGCAUAAAGAGCACGUAGGCGGUUUGAUAAGUCUGCAUGUGAAAUCCCUCGGCUCAACCGAGGAACUGCAUCGGAUACUGUCGAACUAGAGUGCAGUAGGGGAGAGUGGAAUUCCAGGUGGAGCGGUGAAAUGCAUAGAGAUCUGAAGGAACAUCAGUGGCGAAGGCGACCUCCUGGACUGAUAUUGACGCUGAGGUGCGAAAGCGUGGGGAGCAAACAGGAUUAGAUA
rnacentral:rRNA from 1 species